rnacentral:tRNA from 1 species
UCCCUGGAGGACUAGUGGUUAGGCCUCGGUGUUCUCUCCUCCGCGGCCCAGGUUCGAUUCCCGGCCAGGGAA